AUGCACGCUGGCGGCGUGCCUAAUCCAUGCCAGUCGCGCGAACAGACGAGGAGCUUGCUCCUCUGACGUUAGCGGCGGACGGGUGAGUAACACGUGGAUAACCUACCUAUAAGACUGGGAUAACUUCGGGAAACCGGAGCUAAUACCGGAUAAUAUAUUGAACCGCAUGGUUCAAUAGUGAAAGACGGUUUUGCUGUCACUUAUAGAUGGAUCCGCGCCGCAUUAGCUAGUUGGUAAGGUAACGGCUUACCAAGGCAACGAUGCGUAGCCGACCUGAGAGGGUGAUCGGCCACACUGGAACUGAGACACGGUCCAGACUCCUACGGGAGGCAGCAGUAGGGAAUCUUCCGCAAUGGGCGAAAGCCUGACGGAGCAACGCCGCGUGAGUGAUGAAGGUCUUCGGAUCGUAAUACUCUGUUAUUAGGGAAGAACAAAUGUGUAAGUAACUAUGCACGUCUUGACGGUACCUAAUCAGAAAGCCACGGCUAACUACGUG
rnacentral:rRNA from 1 species